rfam:Triticum urartu cultivar G1812 contig316874, whole genome shotgun sequence.
CCCCUCGAGGACGACGAGCUCAUCUCCUUCAUCUUGGCCGGCCUCGACAUGGAAUACAACCCCCUGGUAUCCGCCCUCGACGCUCGCACUGAACCUCUCACCCUCGAUGUACUGUACUCGCAGAUGGCCAACUUCGAUC